CCUACGGGUGACAGCAGUGAGGAAUAUUGGUCAAUGGCCGGAAGGCUGAACCAGCCAUGCCGCGUGAAGGUCAGUGCCCUAUGGGCGUUAAACUUCUUUUGUGCGGGAGCAAUAAUGGUCACGUGUGACCAGACGAGAGUACCGUACGAAUAAGCAUCGGCUAAAUCCGUGCCAGCAGCCGCGGUAAUACGGGGGAUGCAAGCGGUAGCCGGAUUUAUGGGGUUGAAAGGGUGCGUAAGCUGUGAGGUAAGUCAGCGGUGUAAUGCCCCCGGUCAACGGGGUGAAGUGCAAUUGAUACUGGCUAGCUGGAAUGCGGAUGCGGUGAGAGGAAUGUGUGGUGUAGCGGUGAAAUGCAUAGAUAUCAGAAAGAACACCGAUUGCGAAGGCAUCUCACGGAGCCGCGAUUGACGCUGAUGCACGAAAGCGUGGGUAGCAAACAGGAUUAGAUACCCUAGUAGUC
rnacentral:rRNA from 1 species